GGAACACAAAUUUCAGUCUACCCACUCAACAAAAACACCCAAACUAAUGAAGUUAAUGAAGUGAAUACAAUUUUGCUGUUUUUCGCAGAUUAGUUGGAGAAGACAAAGAACGAGUGCGACUUGUAGAAGCCAAAUUACUUAUGAGGCUUUGCACUAAAAGCCUUUCAACGGAGAUUCGAGAUUGAGCCGUCAACGAUUAAGUACUUAAAACCCUCAAUCACAUACGUCUCCCAUGUCAUGUGAGAGUUGCUCAUCAAACAAAUCCAUGAGUUUUCUCAUAAUGGAAUCUCACGAACCAAGAAAAACGAACGAUAUCAGCUCACUCUACCAAGUUCACUCCUCGAGUCGGUUAGCACAGAGCUUGAAAAUGCAACUCAAAACCACACCGAACGUCCAUUAGUAUUACUAGCUCCUCUAGAACACAUAUCAAAGAAGCUAAAGGAGAGAACUCAUCACACCACUAAGACUUGAACUUGCAACAACUUCAACAACAAGACACAAACAAAAUCAUCGAGACAAGAAAAUACUUGUGACGACAUCAAAUGGAGAUGGUACAAU
rnacentral:lncRNA from 1 species